GACAUUAUCUGUCUAUUUAAUACGUACGGA
rnacentral:piRNA from 1 species